UCCUAGCUGGCGCAACUGGUAGAGUAUGUGACUCUUGAUCUCAGGGUUAUGGGUUUGAGCCCCAUGUUGAGUG
rnacentral:tRNA from 1 species